rnacentral:lncRNA from 1 species
UUGAUUGAAAUCCUGAAAAUAUUACCUUCGUACGUAAUAAUAAUACAUAGACCAUCCAGUUUCCAUUAUUGCAUAUAUGCCUGCUGCCUAUAUCGUUGACUCGUUGAUUUCAUUAUUUCACCACAAUAAUGGUUUUUUCGGUAUAUGUAUGUAGGUGCAGAAGCGCAACGAUCAUAAUCAGUUCAGCAGCACAUUUGAUUGGCAAACGAAGUGCACAUGACGCGCGCACCUGGAUGACAUUAAUGGGAUGGUCGCACCAGAAAUGAAAGCAUCUCAUGUCCGUGGACCGGAUCCUGAAGGUCGCUCUCCAAAUCUGCACCGUAAAUUUUCAAACAAAAUAAUAACUUGCUUUUUUGCUUUGUCUUUGAUUCUCACGCUUCUCGUGUUCGACUGCGGCGUUGCUUCC